rnacentral:lncRNA from 1 species
GCAGCCCCUGUCCGCAUGUUCCUCUUUUCCUUUUAUUGUUUUUGAAAACUAAUUAUAAAAAAGUAUUUUAGAUAACUUUUCAUGACUCAUGCAGGAGGGCAUGCUGACCACUUGGCCUGGUUGGUGUGUACUUGGUCGUUUUGACGGUGGAGAAGAGGCAGAAGUUGCGUGCUGCAGUUGCACAGCCAGCGACUAAGGUAAAUGGAGACACACUAUAACGUUUUUGUUUGACAGAAGUUGCUGUAAACAUUGUGCGUAGAUUCGGGAUGUGAAGGCAGUGACUGAUGAAAAUAUACCUGAGAAGGAAGACUUCCACAAGUGCUUUGGAAAGUGGCAAGAAUGGUGGCAUAAGUGUGUUUGGAAUGAGGGGAA